rnacentral:ncRNA from 2 species
UUCUUAUCAAGAGAGGUGGAGGGACUUGGCCCUGCGAAGCCUCAGCAACCAGCAAACCGCGGUUUGUAUGGUGCUAAUUCCGGAGGGACGGAACCGUCCUGAAGAUGAGAA